rnacentral:sRNA from 1 species
GUUCCCCCAACGCGGGGGCUGUCCGGCCCUUUUAUGCCUCGGAGAACCUAAGGCAGGUCCCAGACAAGCCAAUGAAGAGCAUCAAGUAUAUGGACAAGGAAAUAAUAAACCUCAAAAAGGAUCUUAUACGAAGCCGAUGCAGUGAGAGGCAAAGUGAGACACCCUCUCCCUUCACCUCCAUCUUCUGAAAGCCACCCUUCUCCACCACUACCGGAAUCUCCACCCUGCCCCUUCCAGCAGCACAACUUCAUGGAACUGAUGACUGAGCCCAAGAGGACUCCUGGAAGGGUAGCUGCCUGGGUGCUGACAGGUGGCAGGAAGGCACAGUGGCUAAGAAACUGGCUCCUGAGAAUUGCUUGAACCCGGGAGGUGGAGGUUGCAGUGAGCCGAGAUCGCGCCAUUGCACUCCAGCAUGGGCAACAAGUGAAACUCUGUCUCAAAAAAA